CAUUACACAAUUGAAAAUUAUUGAACUAUAACACAACGAAAAUAUUCCUUAUUUUUCAGAAAUUACAGAAUUUGUUGCUUAUGUCAAUACAAAUGAUCAAACACUGGGAAAAUAUAAUGGGGACACCAAUGUCAGGUGGCUUAGGAAACAGGAAUACCAUCUGAUCUAUGCUGCCUUAUUUGCACCCUUAAGCUCCGAACAACCUGAAUAUAGUUUAAAAAUGCUUUCAUUUGCUUUAUUUGAGAAUCCAAAUAACCUUUUUGAGAUUCUACUUUUACCUUUGCAAUCGAGACUGACUGCGUCUUGUGCUGCGGUGGUGAGUUAAGUUACUUGCCUUGACGCAGCUUUGCUUUCCGGCUUUGGUUCUGCU
rnacentral:misc_RNA from 1 species